rnacentral:rRNA from 1 species
UAGCGUAGGUGGCAAGCGUUGUCCGGGAAUUAUUGGGCGAAAGCGCGCGCAGGCGGUUCUUUUAAGUCUGAUGUGAAAGCCCAACGGCUCAACCGUGGAGGGUCAUUGGAAACUGGAGAACUUGAGUACAGAAGAGGAAAGCGGAAUUCCACGUGUAGCGGUGAAAUGCGUAGAUAUCUGGAGGAACACCGGUGGCGAAGGCGGCAUCCUGGACCGAACACUGACACUGAG